GACGAACGCUGGCGGCGUGCUUAACACAUGCAAGUCGAACGGAAAGGCCCUGCUUUUGUGGAGUGCUCGAGUGGCGAACGGGUGAGUAACACGUGAGUAACCUGCCCUUGACUUUGGGAUAACUUCAGGAAACUGGGGCUAAUACCGGAUAGGAGCUCCUGCUGCAUGGUGGGGGUUGGAAAGUUUCGGCGGUUGGGGAUGGACUCGCGGCUUAUCAGCUUGUUGGUGGGGUAGUGGCUUACCAAGGCUUUGACGGGUAGCAGGCCUGAGAGGGUGACCGGCCACAUUGGGACUGAGAUACGGCCCAGACUCCUACGGGAGGCAGCAGUGGGGAAUAUUGCACAAUGGGCGGAAGCCUGAUGCAGCAACGCCGCGUGCGGGAUGACGGCCUUCGGGUUGUAAACCGCUUUCGCCUGUGACGAAGCGUGAGUGACGGUAAUGGGUAAAGAAGCACCGGCUAACUACGUG
rnacentral:rRNA from 1 species